GUCGGCACCUCCGUCUGCCAGGAAGUCGAGUCCUGUCGCAGAAAGAAAAGAUUGCUCACGGAUCGUUCGACUCUUGUUGGUUCCGCAAGGGGGAGGAAACAAGGGAAACAAGGCUCUGAGAUCUUAGAACUUGGAAUCCUUCGAAGGAUCGGACGAGGAAAGGAUAGCACCGGGGACUCGAGAAGUUACAGGAGCUCGCUAUUAAUAUCAGUAGCAACAAGUGCAGAACCAAUAGUCACAGUAGGGGGCUCCGUGGCGGAGUCCUAUUACGAGUGAACACUGGUAGCAGUAUUAUCAGCAAUUUCAUCACCACUAAUCGCCGUAGUAAUACAGUUUGGAACAGAGCUAACACUAGAGCUGAUCAACAGUCAACGCGCACUUACCAUACAAGCUAUCUUAUCUUUGAAAGAAGCAGGUUUCUCGAACCUACCCAUAGUGAUUGGUUACGUUGCGAAGAUCGUCUGUCUCGCGGUGAUGGGAGGUGGACGGGUCAGGUGGCGUCGGAUAGAACCCGGGCGUCUGGAGGACCCCGGUCGCCAAAGCGCUGCAC